GCAAGUCGAACGAAGCCGGCCAUUUCGGUGGCUGGCUUAGUGGCGGACGGGUGAGUAACGCGUGGGAACGUACCCUUGGGUGCGGAACAACAGUUGGAAACGACUGCUAAUACCGCAUGAUGUCCAUUGCAGGGAUGUAGUGGACCAAAGAUUUAUCGCCCAGGGAUCGGCCCGCGUUGGAUUAGGUAGUUGGUGGGGUAAUGGCCUACCAAGCCUACGAUCCAUAGCUGGUUUGAGAGGAUGAUCAGCCACACUGGGACUGAGACACGGCCCAGACUCCUACGGGAGGCAGCAGUGGGGAAUCUUAGACAAUGGGGGCAACCCUGAUCUAGCGAUGCCGCGUGGACGAUGAAGGCCUUAGGGUUGUAAGUCCUUCAAGCUGGAAAGAUAAUGCGGGUCC
rnacentral:rRNA from 1 species